UAUCUCUGUAGAGUCUGCAUAUCAAUAAGCGGAGGAAAAGAAACUAACUAGGAUUCCCUCAGUAACGGCGAGUGAAGCGGGAAGAGCUCAAAUUUGAAAUCUUCAAGGUUCUACCUUGACGAAUUGUAGUUUAAAGAAGUGUUUUCUGUUGGAGUUUUGGUAAAAGUUCUUUGGAAUAGGACAUCAUAGAGGGUGAGAAUCCCGUAUUUGACCAUUAUUUCCAGCUUUGUGAUACACUUUCAAAGAGUCGGAUUGUUUGGGAAUGCAGUCCAAAAUGGGUGGUAAAUUUCAUCUAAAGCUAAAUAUUGGCGAGAGACCGAUAGCGAACAAGUACCGUGAGGGAAAGAUGAAAAGAACUCUGAAAAGAGAGUUAAACAGUACGUGAAAUUGUCAAAAGGGAAGCGUUUGACACCAGUGUUGUUUUCUCGAAAAUCAAUUAAAAAAAGUUGGAUUUUGUAUUGUUAAGACCUUAUCAGCUUACUGUACUCUUUUCUUGCUUUUUUUAAUGCACUUUUCGUUUAACAAGUCAACAUCAAUUUCUUUUGUUGUAAAAGAGUCAUUGGAAGGUGGCUUUCACUUCGGUGAAAGUGUUUAUAGCCUUUGGCUUCUGCAAUCGGAGAGAUUGAGGUCUGCAGCGUAGAUCCUUCGGGGCUAGAUACGUAGAUGCUAAGUUAUAGUUUUUUAUAGACAACUUGUUGACUAUAAUUAAUCAUGUAGCUUACUCGUUUGCGCUAUUUUACCUACGCUUAGGAUGUUGAAGUCAUCGUAUCGCGC
rnacentral:rRNA from 1 species